CUGAACCAGCCAAGUAGCGUGAAGGAUGAUUGUCCUAUGGGUUGUAAACUUCUUUUAUAAAGGAAUAAAGUCGGGUAUGUAUACCCGUUUGCAUGUACUUUAUGAAUAAGGAUCGGCUAACUCCGUGCCAGCAGCCGCGGUAAUACGGAGGAUCCGAGCGUUAUCCGGAUUUAUUGGGUUUAAAGGGAGCGUAGAUGGAUGUUUAAGUCAGUUGUGAAAGUUUGCGG
rnacentral:rRNA from 1 species